AGUUUGAUUCUUGCUUAUGUCAUUUAUUGUUUUUUUGUUUUAUAUGUAAGUUUUUGCGUGAGUUUGCUUGGUGUUUUUAAUAGGUUUGUGGGCGCUUGUUAUUUUUAAUUCUCAUUAUUUAUUAUUAGUAUUUCAAGGUUUCUUGUAACUAGCAAUUUAUUUUAGUUCCGGUUAAGUUUUGUGCCAGCAUCCGCGGUUAUACUUUGGGGGCUUAUUAAUGUGUUUGGAGUUGUAGUCAUAUGUUGUAAAUUCUUAGAUUGUUUUAUUUAUUGUUUAUUGGGUGAAAUUUUUAUUUUAUGUGAUUUCUUUUGUUGUUUUGGUUGAAAGUUGAUUUCUAUGAGACUCAUUGUUUAAACUAGGAUUAGAUACCCUAUUAUUUUGAGUAUUAAUUUGAAUUUCUUAGGUAGUAUUAGUUAUGUUCUUGAAACCUAAAGAAUUUGGCGGUAUUUUAUUCCGAUCAGAGGAAUCUGCCCCGUUAUCGAUAAUCCGCGUUGUACCUUACUUAAAGUUAGUAUUGUUUGUAUACCGCCGUAUAUUGAUUAUCAUUUUAGUGUUGAUUUUCUUGUUUCUUAAUUUGGUUAUAUUUCAGGUCAAGGUGCAGCUUUUAUUUAAGUGUGAGGUGGAUUACAUUGUGUUUUUGUUAUUUGGAUUGUUUGUUGUUAAGUAUUUGCAUGAAAUUGGAUUUGAUUGUAAUGGUUAUGAAGAUUAUUUUCAUGAUAAUUGGUUCUAAAAUAUGUACACAUCGCCCGUCGCUCUCGUUAUUUAUUAAUGAGAUAAGUCGUAACAAAGUGGUCGUACCGGAAGGUGUGGCUGGAUUG
rnacentral:ncRNA from 1 species